rnacentral:siRNA from 1 species
CGUGCCCUAAUGUGCUGGG